UUUCACUUAAUAAAAACUUUGAUAUGAAUUCAAAAACUGCAAUUGAUUAACCAUUAUUUAAAUAUUUAAUAUUUAAUAAAUACUGAAUAACUAAAUCCCUCACACACACCGAAAAAAACCCCGCGCUUUUAUUUUGACACGCGCCCAUCCCCCCACAUCUCACGGUCGGAGUCAGUUUCACAGAGCAGCGCAGGAGGACGACAGACACAUAAAGAACAUUAACAGUUUAGCACAAAUGUUUCCCGUGGAAGUUUGAAUCUCUCUCAGUCAGGGGGGAGAUUGACUGACUGACUGUUUACUCGCCACCAAACAGUAAUUUACCCUGAAACCUUUUACAGUAAGGACUAACGUUAACUGACUGUCUGUCUGCUCUCAACCAAACAGUCAUUCAGGACCUUGUAAAGUAAGGACUAACGUUAACUGACUGUCUGUCUGCUCUCAACCAAACAGUCAUUCAGGACCUUGUAAAGUAAGGACUAACGUUAACUGACUGUCUGUCUGCUCUCAACCAAACAGUCAUUCAGGACCUUGUAAAGUAAGGACUAACGUUAACUGACUGUCUGUCUGCUCUCAACCAAACAGUCAUUCAGGACCUUGUAAAGUUUAGCGCAAAUGUUUCCUGCGCAAGUUUGAAUCUCUCAGUCAGGGGGGAGAUUGACUGACUGACUGUUUACUCGCCACCAAACAGUAAUUUACCCUGAAACCUUUUACAGUAAGGACUAACGUUAACUGACUGUCUGUCUGCUCUCAACCAAACAGUCAUUCAGGACCUUGUAAAGUUUAGCGCAAACGUUUCCUGCGCAAGUUUGAAUCUCUCAGUCAGGGGGGAGAUUGACUGACUGACUGACUGACUGUCUACUCGCCACCAGUCAGUUACACAGAAACCUUUUAAAGUUUAGCACAAACGUUUCCCGCGCAAGUUUGGAUCUUUACCAUUGAGGGUGGCUGACUGUUCUCUACCAACCAUCAUGCACACGCAAAAACUUUAAAGAUAAGUAUGAACGUGCCCAGAGCAGUUUUCGAUCUUUACCAUUAAGGUGGCUGACUGACUAUCCUCUACCACCCAUCAUUAACACAACAAAAACUAAAGAAAUGUUACUCCAUAUGGACCUAUUCAUUUACUCAUUAUGCUGUGAGUACACCACAGUUUUAUCAGGGAAAAAAUGUAUAUUUGUGUGUUUCUCACUGCUUGGCAAGGACAGAUGUGGCCCUGUUAAAAAUGUUUAAAUGUCGUUUGGUUUAAGGAACAGCACACUGAUUUUGUUUUAAAUAUUCCUGUUUGGACAGUCUGUUAAAGUCAUAAAGCAGGGGUGGGGAACCCUGGUCCUGGAGGGCCACUGUCCUGCAGAGUAUAGUUCCAACCCUAAUUAAACACACCUGAAAAAUCUAAUUCAAGUCUUCAGGAUUACUUGAAAAUGAAAUUCAGGUGUGUUUGAUUAGGGUUGGAACUAAACUCUGCAGGACAGUGGCCCUCCAGGACCCAGGGUUCCCCACUCCUGUCAUAAAGGAAUACAUGAUAUAUUUCAUAAGUAAAGUGUAAAUGUAAUAUUAGUUUUUAAUGUUGUGAAUUUGGACUGAACAGCACACUUCUGUUUUAUAUCUAAACCUUUUGUAAAAUAAAUGAUUGUUCA